rnacentral:lncRNA from 1 species
CUCCCUGUAACCAAGGGAGACUGCGUUACCGCCGUUAGCCGUAAAGCGAUUGUCGCAAAAGCCGGGCACGCUCAGUGCGCUCCUCUAAGGUCGGAGAGGCAGUUUUUAACGGAAAUCAAGCCGUUUACGCUGAGCAGGGCCUGGCUGGGCUCGGUUCUCCGCCAUUCCUGCCUUCGUAGCCGCUGGGUGGCACUCAAGCUCCACAGCACGGCCUAUGGCACCACGUCGGGAACUCACUGCGCAGGCGCAAACUAGGCCCUAAAGCCUCGUUGUCUCGUUGCUAUGGUUACCACAACCCGGAAGUGGCCCGAGCUGGGCGCCAUGGCCUGAAUUGGGGCCUGCCGCCCCCUGAGGCCGCACGGCCGCUAUGGCCCGAGGGGGUGGAGAGGCGGCCAAGGAGGGGGAGCUGGGAGAUGACAGCUUGUCUGUGAUAACCUGUGAAUCAGAUGCAGAAAUGAAAUUAAAGAAGAAAAUUUUUCACAAGCCUCCGAAGUCACCAAGUAAGAGCUCAAAAAUCUUCUGUUUCCAUUGUGCAUAACAGGAUAGAUUUCUCUGUGGCACAGGAGGUAGAUUUAUGUGAAACAUCAUCUUUAUUCUGACUGGAAUUGUUCAUUGUGUGUGCAGAGUGCCUCUGGUUGACAUUUGUAUUCUGUAAGCUGGGAAGUUAGACUUUGAUAGGCUAAAUGUUCGAGUUCAUAGUUUAGUUAUGGUUCUUGAUUUUCCAGCAAGGGGAAAAACCAUUUUUAUAUUUCAAAGAAAACAAUCUCAGUUGUUGUUGCUGAUUGUUGUUACUUUGUGUUGUUUGUAGUAAAAGAAAUCACAUUGCACUUCAAAUUUUUGCUCUAGGGUGAGGGGGAGACACACCCUUCUGAUUGGAGCACAUCUUCUUCCUUUGCCUGGAAUCUCUAAAUGAUGGAAUUAAAACAGUUCCUUAACUUUAACCAUGAUUUUUAGUUUAACCGCUUCUUCCUUCUCUUCUUAAUUUGAAGACUAACUUGCUAGCCAAUAUAGUGCACAUCUAAACUCAGCUUUAAAUCAUUAGUGAUUUUCAGUAUUUAUACCUAACUACAAUACCUGGAGUAGAGAUAGGAGGGGAUCUCCAGCAGUUGUGUCAGACCAAUUCUGUUCUUUGAUUACUGCUAGGAAGUUGCCAGUGGUUUAACAGCUAUAGAUAAACUUCUCUAGGUUUAUCCAUAUGUGUUCCUCUCAUAUGAAGGACAUUUCUGUAUGUAAAAUGAAUGGAUAUAUAUAUACAAGUGUGUUAAAGAUAAGUAUCCAAGCUGGACAUGUAAGUACUUCUGCUUAUGUUGAGUGAUAUAACUGUUAUUGUGUUACUCGGCCUCUUUCUUUUAUGUCUGGGAACCUAGAAACACAAAACAGAUUUUUUGUGAUCUUGAGCUUUUCCAGGCAAUGCUGAGAUAUUUUCUUUUGUUUUAGAGUCUCCAUACAGUUCUAGUACACAACUGUAUCCUAAGAAAGCUGCAGUUUGGAGAUCCCUGCAGGGAACAGGCAAUG